rnacentral:rRNA from 1 species
UACGGGGGGGGGCAAGCGUUGUUCGGAAUUACUGGGCGUAAAGGGCUCGUAGGCGGCCAACUAAGUCAGACGUGAAAUCCCUCAGCUUAACUGGGGAACUGCGUCUGAUACUGGAUGGCUUGAGAUUGGGAGAGGGAUGCGGAAUUCCAGGUGUAGCGGUGAAAUGCGUAGAUAUCUGGAGGAACACCGGUGGCGAAGGCGGCAUCCUGGACCAACACUGACGCUGAGGAGCGAAAGCCAGGGGAGCAAACAGG